AUGCUGGAGGUAUCAGAAGUGCGAAUGCUGACAUAAGUAACGAUAAAGCGGGUGAAAAGCCCGCUCGCCGGAAGACCAAGGGUUCCUGUCCAACGUUAAUCGGGGCAGGGUGAGUCGACCCCUAAGGCGAGGCCGAAAGGCGUAGUCGAUGGGAAACAGGUUAAUAUUCCUGUACUUGGUGUUACUGCGAAGGGGGGACGGAGAAGGCUAUGUUGGCCGGGCGACGGUUGUCCCGGUUUAAGCGUGUAGGCUGGUUUUCCAGGCAAAUCCGGAAAAUCAAGGCUGAGGCGUGAUGACGAGGCACUACGGUGCUGAAGCAACAAAUGCCCUGCUUCCAGGAAAAGCCUCUAAGCAUCAGGUAACAUCAAAUCGUACCCCAAACCGACACAGGUGGUCAGGUAGAGAAUACCAAGGCGCUUGAGAGAACUCGGGUGAAGGAACUAGGCAAAAUGGUGCCGUAACUUCGGGAGAAGGCACGCUGAUAUGUAGGUGAAGUCCCUCGCGGAUGGAGCUGAAAUCAGUCGAAGAUACCAGCUGGCUGCAACUGUUUAUUAAAAACACAGCACUGUGCAAACACGAAAGUGGACGUAUACGGUGUGACGCCUGCCCGGUGCCGGAAGGUUAAUUGAUGGGGUUAGCGCAAGCGAAGCUCUUGAUCGAAGCCCCGGUAAACGGCGGCCGUAACUAUAACGGUCCUAAGGUAGCGAAAUUCCUUGUCGGGUAAGUUCCGACCUGCACGAAUGGCGUAAUGAUGGCCAGGCUGUCUCCACCCGAGACUCAGUGAAAUUGAACUCGCUGUGAAGAUGCAGUGUACCCGCGGCAAGACGGAAAGACCCCGUGAACCUUUACUAUAGCUUGACACUGAACAUUGAGCCUUGAUGUGUAGGAUAGGUGGGAGGCUUUGAAGUGUGGACGCCAGUCUGCAUGGAGCCGACCUUGAAAUACCACCCUUUAAUGUUUGAUGUUCUAACGUGGACCCGUAAUCCGGGUUGCGGACAGUGUCUGGUGGGUAGUUUGACUGGGGCGGUCUCCUCCUAAAGAGUAACGGAGGAGCACGAAGGUUGGCUAAUCCUGGUCGGACAUCAGGAGGUUAGUGCAAUGGCAUAAGCCAGCUUGACUGCGAGCGUGACGGCGCGAGCAGGUGCGAAAGCAGGUCAUAGUGAUCCGGUGGUUCUGAAUGGAAGGGCCAUCGCUCAACGGAUAAAAGGUACUCCGGGGAUAACAGGCUGAUACCGCCCAAGAGUUCAUAUCGACGGCGGUGUUUGGCACCUCGAUGUCGGCUCAUCACAUCCUGGGGCUGAAGUAGGUCCCAAGGGUAUGGCUGUUCGCCAUUUAAAGUGGUACGCGAGCUGGGUUUAGAACGUCGUGAGACAGUUCGGUCCCUAUCUGCCGUGGGCGCUGGAGAACUGAGGGGGGCUGCUCCUAGUACGAGAGGACCGGAGUGGACGCAUCACUGGUGUUCGGGUUGUCAUGCCAAUGGCACUGCCCGGUAGCUAAAUGCGGAAGAGAUAAGUGCUGAAAGCAUCUAAGCACGAAACUUGCCCCGAGAUGAGUUCUCCCUGAC
rnacentral:rRNA from 1 species